CACAGUGCAUGCGGUGCUGGGAUGAGUGGUGGCACAGUGCAUGUGGUGCUGGAUGAGUGGUGGCACAGUGCAUGCGGUGCUGGGAUGAGUGGUGGCACAGUGCAUGCGGUGCUGGGAUGAGGUGGCACAGUGCAUGUGGUGCUGGGAUGAGUGGUGGCAGUGCAUGUGGUGCUGGGAUGAGUGGUGGCACAGUGCAUGUGGUGCUGGAUGAGUGGUGGCACAGUGCAUGCGGUGCUGGGAUGAGUGGUGGCACAGUGCAUGUGGUGCUGGAUGAGUGGUGGCACAGUGCAUGCGGUGCUGGGAUGAGUGGUGGCACAGUGCAUGUGGUGCUGGAUGAGUGGUGGCACAGUGCAUGCGGUGCUGGGAUGAGUGGUGGCACAGUGCAUGUGGUGCUGGAUGAGUGGUGGCACAGUGCAUGCAGUGCUGGGAUGAGUGGUGGCACAGUGCAUGCGGUGCUGAGAUGAGUGGUGGCAGUGCAUGUGGUGCUGGAUGAGUGGUGGCACAGUGCAUGUGGUGCUGGGAUGAGGUGGCACAGAGCAUGUGGUGCUGGGAUGAGUGAUGGCAGUGCAUGUGGUGCUGGGAUGAGUGGUGGCACAGUGCAUGCGGUGCUGGGAUGAGCGGUGGCACAGUGCAUGUGGUGCUGGGAUGAGUGGUGGCAGUGCAUGUGGUGCUGGGAUGAGCGGUGGCACAGUGCAUGUGGUGCUGGGAUGAGUGGUGGCAGUGCAUGUGGUGCUGGGAUGAGUGGUGGCAGUGCAUGUGGUGCUGGGAUGAGUGGUGGCAGUGCAUGUGGUGCUGGAUGAGUGGUGGCACAGUGCAUGUGGUACUGGAUGAGUGGUGGCACAGUGCAUGUGGUGCUGGGAUGAGUGGUGGCAGUGCAUGUGGUGCUGGAUGAGUGGUGGCAGUGCAUGUGGUGCUGGGAUGAGUGGUGGCAGUGCAUGUGGUGCUGGAUGAGUGGUGGCACAGUGCAUGUGGUGCUGAGAUGAGUGGUGGCACAGU